AGUGAACGCUGGCGGUAGGCCUAACACAUGCAAGUCGAACGGCAGCACAGUAAGAGCUUGCUCUUACGGGUGGCGAGUGGCGGACGGGUGAGGAAUACAUCGGAAUCUACUUUUUCGGGGGGGAUAACGUAGGGAAACUUACGCUAAUACCGCAUACGACCUACGGGUGAAAGCAGGGGAUCUUCGGACCUUGCGCGAUUGAAUGAGCCGAUGUCGGAUUGGCUAGUUGGCGGGGUAAAGGCCCACCAAGGCGACGAUCCGCAGCUGGUCUGAGAGGAUGAUCGGCCACACUAGAACUGAGACACGGACCAGACUCCUACGGGAGGCAGCAGUGGGGAAUAUGGGACAAUGGGCGCAAGCCUGAUCCAGCCAUACCGCGUGGGUGAAGAAGGCCUUCGGGUUGUAAAGCCCUUUUGUUGGGAAAGAAAAGCAGCAGGUUAAUACCCCGCUGUUCUGACGGUACCCAAAGAAUAAGCACCGGCUAACUUCGUG
rnacentral:rRNA from 1 species